GCUCCCAUGGCGUAGUGGUCACUGCGCUCGCCUUGACGCGGGAGACCCGGGUUCGAUUCCCGGCGGGGUCA
rfam:Asian citrus Psyllid, Diaphorina citri - Florida Strain, whole genome shotgun sequence.